rnacentral:rRNA from 1 species
UACAGAGGUCUCAAGCGUUGUUCGGAUUCAUUGGGCGUAAAGGGUGCGUAGGCGGCGCGGUAAGUCGGGUGUGAAAUCUCCACGCUCAACGUGGAGGGGCCAUUCGAAACUGCUGUGACUUGAGUCCGGUAGGGGGGUGUGGAAUUCCCGGUGUAGCGGUGAAAUGCGCAGAUAUCGGGAGGAACACCAGUAGCGAAGGCGGCACCCUGGGCCGGUACUGACGCUGAGGAGCGAAAGCGUGGGGAGCAAACAGG